AUGUGUCUAUUGUGUCUAUGUGUCUGCAUGUGUGUCUCUGUAGGUGUCUGUGUGUGUGUCUCUGUACAUGUCUGCGUGUGUAUAUCUGUAGGUCUAUGUGUGUCUAUUGUGUGUGUCUAUGUGUAUCUGCAUGUGUGUCUAUGUGUGCCUAUUGUGUGUGUUCUCUGUGUGUCUGUCUCUGUAGCUGUCUGUGUGUCUAUUGUGUGUCUGUGUCUAUGUGUGUCUGUGUGUGUGUCUCUGUGUGUGUAUAUCUGUUGGUGUCUAUGUGUGUGUCUAUGUGUCUGCAUGUGUCUGUGUCUAUUGUGUAUGUUUUGUGUGCCUGUUGUGUGUCUGUGUGUUUCUGUAUGUGUGUAUCCGUGUGUCUGCUACGGCUGUGUCUGUUGCAUGUCUAUGUGUGUCUGUAUUUUGUGCAUCUGUGUCUGUUGUGUGUGUUUGUGCAUGUGUGUAUCUGUGGGUCUAUGUGUGUUUGUGUGUGUCUGUGGGUGUAUCUGUGUGUGUUUUGUGUCUGUGUCUGUUGUGUGUGUGUGUAGCUGUGGGUCUAUGUGUAUCUAUGUCUGCUGUAUGUCUCUGUGGGUCUAUGUGUGUUUGUAUGUGUGUCUAUAUGUAUGCGUCUGUGUGUCUGUGGGUGUAUCUGUGUGUCUGUGCAUGUCUGCAAACCCACAUUACAGGACUGGAGGCAGAACUGAAACCUUCCAGAAAGAUUCAGUAGGGCAGGGGAGGGAGGAGACAGAGGCUGCCCAAACCGUAGCCCUGGAAACCAGAGAGGCUUUACUUCCAGCAGGGACCUCGCUGGCUCCUGGAGGACCCUGGAGGAUGAGGAGAGCUGACUGUGCACCCCCCACUGCUGGGCUGCCCCUCUCGCUGCACCCUGAGUGUGGGCAGGGGGAGGGGGCAUCUCCAGCCUGGCUUCAGAGCUGUGGUUUGCAGCAGACGCACUGCAGGGAGCGAGCCGAGUUCCUGAGAAGGGACCGAUGCAGCUCACAGGGACUGCCCUGCCCCCCAACUCCCCAACCCCACUCCUCACACCCCCACCCUGGCCUGUGCUUGCUGUCCACACUGUCCCAGACCCCUGGGGGUGGCCUGGGGGGGCAGCUCCUCCUGUGUGGCUGCAGCAGAGGAAGAGUAGACGCCACACACCCCCUGCCUCCUCCCACUCCGGCCAGAAGUCUUCCCUGGGGCAGUGGGGCAGCCUGGGCUCCCCUGGAGCCCUGGCCAGGGAUGUUCCUAGAGUCAACUUCCUUGCAGGUGCUGUGCAGCAGGAGGCGCCGUUGGGCUCCCCUGGGUGUGGGCUCCGGAGGUCCCUGGGUGAGCUCAGCCCUCAGGGGCUGGUUUUCAGGGAGUCCCUGCUGUCCACUCUCGGCUGACCCCUCUCGGGCUCAGAGUCACAACCUCCUCCCCAUCUGA
rnacentral:lncRNA from 1 species